CGGACUGCUCGGAGUUAGGCUGGGCAUCGGUCAGCGAGUGGAAGGAUGCAGCCAGGAAGCAUACAUGUGGACCUAAGACUGGAAUGUGCCAUGGAGUAAACCACAGUGCCCAAAGAUUCACAAAUCCAAUGAUUUUAUGAGUUAACAAUUGCUUCCCCAUUAAGCCAGAUGGAGAAAUGUGGGAAGUAUACUGCUGGAUAUUGGUGUGGCAGGUUUGUGUUCCAAUGACUAACAUGAUCUCAAGUUUCUUCGGGAUGUAAUAUGACAAUGUAGAAGAACAUCCGACUUCAGGAUCUAUUCCAGAUAUGAACUUCAUUUCACUGGGAUGCUCUGAAGUGUCUAUACUGCACAGAAGAGGUCAGUGGAGGGGGAAAGAGCCACAAAAAGUUCCAGUUUUGCAGGUAACGCUGAGUUAUGUUUUUAAUGCACUUACUUGUAAGACAUUCUACAUUUAACUGACCUGCCUUUUACCCAGCCUUUUACAACAUGUGAUGGCAUUGCUAAAACAGACCAACUGAGAAAGAAUCAACAGCUUGCUUUGCAAAAAUGUUAGUAAAUCAUUUUAGGGUUGAAAGAAGCUUUUAUAUUAAUGAAAUGGCUUUGUAUUACAAACCCAAUCUGGAUAACCUACUUAAUCUCUUGUCAUCUUAAUUCAUGAAUUUAUAGGAUGAAUACUCAAAGGUCUGUUGCCCUUGCCUGAAAGUUUUAAUUCCUUUCUAAGUGUAUCAAUAUCAUACAUCUGAAAUCAAUCAGAAAUAAAAAUACAAUGUACCCCAAAUUUUUUAUACAAAUAGAACCUGAAAGUAUAUAUCUUAAGCAUGUUAUGUAUUUUCCUAUUGAAUAUCAUUCCAAAUAUUAAAUAUAUCAUAAUGCCCUACAGUUUAGUUAAUGUGAUUCAUAUUACUUAGCACUUUACAUGCAGAUUUUUUCAAAGGGAAUUUGAAAACAAGGAUAAUCCUCAGACGUGUCAGUUAACAUUAUUUAAUUUGUAUAAUGUCCUUAAAAUGCAGUUUAGAACACUUUUCUCUUUCAGUACAAAUAUCUUGGGGAUGACAAGCAACUCUGAAAAUCAAGAGAAAACAUACAGUAAGGCCUACCAUUUACAGCCUACACUGUCUACAACUCAGAAAAUUUCACAGUUGUUCUAGUUGUGUACCUCUAGCUCAGUAAUUUCACUUAUAAUUUUUUUUGCUAUUCCAGAAUCUGUAAUCCAGCUGGAGGUUUCAAACUACCUUCAACUACAGCCAUGGUGAAUACAAAGCUAUAUAUACAUGGUUUUUCUGCAAAUGAAUUUAUUUUUUCUCAUGCAAUAAAAAGGUUUUCAAAGGAACAAUAUUGAUCUCUUCAAUUCCCAAAGAUAAACAUUCUUAGGCAUACUCAAAAGAAUCUUCCUUUAUAUUGGAAGUUCAUUCUAGGAUAACACUUUUUAUCAGGUUUUCUAUGUUUGUUGUUGUUGUUCUGUUUGUUUUUGUUUGUUUGUUUUUGUUUUUGUUUUGCUUCUGCCAUAAGACAACUUUGUCAUGCACCGCUAAGGCUAUCACAGCUUCCAAUUGCAAUGUAUUGUUGACUUAUUUAUUUAUUUUUGUUGUUCUUGCUAUACUGUCGAUGCAGGUAAUACUUCAACAGUUUUCUCAGCCAGUACCAACAGAGAGCUGGCUCAUUUAAACUCUCUUUGAAUUGUAUCCAAUUUGGCUGCAAGGCUAGAUUUCUCAUAGCAUUACACAGGUCAGCUAAAGACCAAUUUCUGCUAUGGAGCUCUGUUUCCUUCUAGUUCUCUCUUUCAUAUGUACAUCAACAUAUCAUUUAUAUUUCUGCUAAAUUCAGCCAGAGCUACAUCACAUACCAGUUGCAUUUUCAUACUUUCUAGGAUCCUUCUGUAUUUUCAUGUGUAAACAACCUGAUGUUAUACUGAUUGCAAUGGUAUCUACAAGCUUUAUGCAAGACUUAGCUGUAAGAAGACUGACCGAAGCAGCCUAUUUAAAAUAUAAGAUCUUGUAAAGAAUAAUUCUUAGAGUGCAAAAGCCAAUAAUAACUAAUAGAUUGGGGUGACACAGAGCAGGAAUGUAGGACCUAAUGCAGCACAGAACAAAAUGGAUGGAGAUACUUAGAAAGGACACCCUCCGGUAGUGAUAUUCCAAGGGAAUUUAAUUCCUCCUUUUGUCAAAUGGAGUUCCUUUCCAAUUUCUCAUCAGGCCAAACAUGGACAGCAGUUUCAAUAGGAUACCAUAAUAUUUUUCAAUCCCCUUUUUAUCAUUUCUGAUGGUAAAUGCUAGCAGUAUAUAAAUGUUUGCUGUAUCGCACUUUCUUCUAUCUGAAGAUGUAAGGAGUAAAUCAAAGCUGGAGGUGAGGAUGGUUACUGGGUUUUCUUAGAAAGGCACUCAAUAUAUCACCAAAAUUACCAAUGUGGAUCUCCUGAGAGUUACUUGCAAGUAUUAUACUUUGUUGUAUGUGUUUAUUCAAUCACUUUAUGGCUCUAGGUCAGAUAAGCAAUGAAAGGCAAGUUAGAAACCUUGUUGAUAUCAUUUUACAUAACCUUUUUUAUUCAUUUUCAAGCAGAUGAAGAUCUAGUCUACAAUCUUCACAGCAUUUUUGAGAAGAAUCAGAUUGAACUUCAAAUUGUCCUAAUAGUCCCAUCAUUUUACCAUUCUUUAAUUGUCCAAAUAUACUUUUGUGUUCAUUUGCUUCCUGAAAUAGAUGAAAAUGAUUAACUUGUUGAGGGAUUUCUUGAAACAGCAAAAAUCCCAUGGCUUGCUGUAGCUGAGCAAACCAAGCUACCAGGGCAACUAUGAGAAGUUCCCAUGACAGU